GCCUGGUAUGCUGCUUUCACCUUCUCACAUGGCUUCUGCCCCACCUCUGAUAUGAUUUACUCCUUUCUCAUUUCAGAGUUUUUUGCUUCUUUCCUUCCACCAGCUUUUUUUCUGAUUGUGGCUUCUUGCUUUUAUUUUCCCUGGUGCAGUAUUGGCCCAUACUCAAAGUAGCAAGGCCAGUAGUAAUCUAUGAGUUUCUGUCUGUGCCUGCAAGCUUUAAUGCUUUCUGUGGCAGUGAACGGGACUAUAUGAUCCAUAACAGUUGAAAAAUAUCCUGAUAAUAAACUGGCAUGUUCCAACUUUAAUAGGAUAAAAAUAAAUAAUGCACUGCACUAGUAACAGAUCUGUAGUCAUCCAGGUUUAAAAUAACUAGAUAUAAUGUAGUAUUGUCCAUGGUGCUCAUGCUUUACACCUUUUUCAGCAUUGACAACAGUGAUGCGGUAUGGGCUGCCUAAUGUGGCAGGGAAAGCAUGGUUAGCCCAGACACCCUCUGGCUCUUCUGUGAAACCACUGUUUGCUAAACAGCCACCAACAGUCUGUGAAAAAAAAAUAGCAUCUUGCUCGAUACAAAGGCUCUUUGCCCUGUAUGGUUUGGGGCUGCUGUUUUAGAGCUACAUUGCUAAUUUUUAACCUCAAACAUGACAAUCACCAUGAGGUUGAAAAAGUAGCAACACUUUAUCCUGUAUAAGUGCAAUGCAUAUAUACCCUGCCAUACUGUUCAGCUGCUGGAAUUACCAACAUUUGUUUAUUCAUUCCUCUUAGUAAAAACAAGGAUGUCUGCUGGCUUGGUGCAGCAGCUUCGGAGAAGCUGGUGGGGGAAGGCAAAAAGGAAAUCAAGGUAUAUAGCAGGAACUGUCCAUCUGUGUGAGAGCUGCAGUCAGAGGGGUGGUGUGUGACUGACAGUGGGUCAUCUGAGCAUUUCUACACUGUGGAAGCGCGUUGUCUGCCUACAGCAGACUUUCACCAAUGGAGAGGAAAAUACUUCUAUAUGGAAGAAACUAGAACAUGUGGAGAAGACAAUGAACUUCUAACUUCCUGGAUCAUACGAAAACACGUAAAAGAAUACAUUUAUGUAUACAUGGCUCAGUUAUAUUUAUUUAGAAGACCUUAAGCUUUUUAUUAACAGCUUAGAUGACAACUUGUAUGUUUAUAUCUGAUUCUGAACACUUUAGACAAGAUAAUUCAAUUAAACAAUUUUAAAAGC